rnacentral:rRNA from 1 species
UGGCUCAGUGAGGCGUCCGGACUGGCCCAGGGAGGUGGGCAACUACCACCCAGGGCCGGAAAUUUCCUUUCCAAACUCGGUCAUUUAGAGGAAGUAAAAGUCGUAACAAGGUCUCCGUUGGUGAACCAGCGGAGGGAUCAUUACCGAGUUAUCCAACUCCCAACCCCUGUGAAUUAUACCUUUAAUUGUUGCUUCGGCGGGACUUCGCGCCCGCCGGGGACCCAAACCUUCUGAAUUUUUUAAUAAGUAUCUUCUGAGUGGUUAAAAAAAUGAAUCAAAACUUUCAACAACGGAUCUCUUGGUUCUGGCAUCGAUGAAGAACGCAGCGAAAUGCGAUAAGUAAUGUGAAUUGCAGAAUUCAGUGAAUCAUCGAAUCUUUGAACGCACAUUGCGCCCGUCAGUAUUCUGGCGGGCAUGCCUGUUCGAGCGUCAUUACGCCCCUCAAGUCCCCUGUGGACUUGGUGUUGGGGAUCGGCGAGGCUGGUUUUCCAGCACAGCCGUCCCUUAAAUUAAUUGGCGGUCUCGCCGUGGCCCUCCUCUGCGCAGUAGUAAAACACUCGCAACAGGAGCCCGGCGCGGUCCACUGCCGUAAAACCCCCCAACUUUUUAUAGUUGACCUCGAAUCAGGUAGGACUACCCGCUGAACUUAAGCAUAUCAAUAAGCGGAGGAAAAGAAACCAACAGGGU